AUGGCAUCCCCUAAGACCUCAGAGGUGGCCGGCUCAAGAAAGUAUCUUCAAAUCCUGAAACUGGGCGGGAAGAGGCAUGACAUCCAGGAAUCUUUUCUGCCGGUUUCAGAGUUCCAACAGUCUCCUGGAAACUGUAAUGUGCCUACUAUUUACUAAAAAGCCAAGCAGGAGCUCAUUUGACAAAGCAAUAUUCAAGGUCGACAAUUCUUCUCCAGUAUACACAGCUGUUUCAAAACGUUGCUUUGGGAGGAUGCAACGAGGUCCUGAGUUCAAUUCCCACCAACCACAUGGUGGCUCAUAACCAUCUGUAAUAGAAUCAGAUGCCUUCUGCUGCUGUGUCUGAAGACUGUACUCACAUAUAUAAAGAAUUUGAUCAGUUUGAUGAAAUUUCAUUGAUGUCAACUCUCCAGCUGUCUGUGCCUUACCAAAAGCUGUUUGCCUCCAAGACAAUAAACAGCCCGUGUGAUCCUUUCUCUUGCUUAAGCAGGAAGUCACCACUCAACAGGAAGGAAUUUAAAACCAAUCCCACAAAAU
rnacentral:lncRNA from 1 species